rnacentral:misc_RNA from 1 species
UAUUGUAAAAUUCAAGAUUCCAAACAGGGAGUUCAGGAACAAAGUUCUAAAAAUUUUAAUUUUAAAGAAAGUUUGCUAGACACUUUCAGAAACCAGCUGAAGGCAAAGAGCUUCUCAAACAUAAAUACUAUAUCCUCAGAACGAAAUAUAAAGACUAUGUUCACAAAAUAAAUAAUAUGUCAUGAAGCAGGAACAAUUCAAGAUGUUGGACAAAUGUGCACUUUCAAUGAAGGGGAGAAAAGGGAUGGCUUGCUCAAUCUAGUCUCAUGCCAGAAUCAAAUGCAUUCACAGUCGUCCCUCCAUCAACAGAAAUAACCUGUCCAGUAAUGUAUGAAGCAGCAGGUAGGCAAAGGAAUGCAACAAGGGAUGACACUUCUUUCGGUUCUCCGACACGUUGAAGUGGAGUUCGAGAGAUUAUUUUAUCCAAGAACUCUUUGUUACCAAGCAACUGUAAGGACACAUGGUCAGAAGAGAAGCUGUUAUAUGUACCAUUGAUGAAUUUUAUACCAAUUUCUUCUCAGUUCCAAAAUGCAGUGUUUGAGAGACUACAACUCUCCAAGUCUAAUAAUCCACUCUUAUAUACACACAGAAUUUUUGUUGAAGGAAGUGCCCGGUUUGAAGCUCACUAGUUAAUCGGAAUAAUAUUAUAGUCAAGAUUAAUGGAUUUAUGGAGAUCUUGGAAACAAAAACUUUCAAGGAUACAUGUCAAUAAACAGAGGACAGCAGUAUAAUCGCAAUUUAUUGAACUGUUUUAGGGUCAUGGCCAAAGAAAGCUUUCAGAACAAUAAGCAAUAUCAUAAUCAUGCUUAUAAUGCAUGUAAAUACACAUCUUUUAUAGUUUAAUACACCUCAUGUAAAAAUGACCCUCGAGAUGCAACCAGAAAUCCACUUGAUGCUUAUAGGUUUUCUAUGUAUAAACAGUUCUAAGAGCAAAUCCCAACUAGGAUGAAUAACUGAUUCAACUAACUGUAGAAUUAAGGUUUGGCCACUUUAAAGAAAUAAUACCUUUACUCUUAAAUGAGAAUGGCAAUUUGCUAAUAUUUUGAAAGGGAUGAUUAUUUGCCAGACAUAAAAGAAUGUUCUAUGAGCAGGAUAGAGAAUAGUACAUUUUCCACAAGCGAGGUUCUGAUAUACCAGGGUGCAACACAAUUUGUCCUGAUAUUGUCUUUUGCCCACUCACAAGCCAAGUUUUUCGUUAGUUGAUUAAUUGCACCUUUAGUUGAACCAUAAAUCGAUCCACUACCUAUGUGCGCAAGACCUGCAACAGAUGAAAUGAAUACAAUGCUUCCUGCUCCUGAUGCUUUUAGAAGAGGAUGUGCAAGUUGGCACAGAUGGUAUGCAGAUUCAAAGUUAGUUGUCACGAGUUUUGAAAAUUCUUCAGCAGAGUACUCAAUACUUGGCUUCCUGAUAUUUGUGCCAACAUUGUUU